ensembl:lncRNA
CCUUAGGGUUCCACAGAAGCAACAGGGGUUGUUGGAAGUCUCCAUCUCUCGUGCGCUGGUUCCACCAGGCCAGCCCAGCCCCACGGCAGGCAACCAAGUUCAGAGGAGGAACGAAGAUUCCACGACCACGUCAGGGCGGUGGCAGCCAGGACAUGUGCCAGGGAGAGGAAAUGGGCCUGAAGAAUGAGACUGGGGUAAACGGCAGGGCUCCGUGAGGCAUGAAGCUGGCUCUGAAAGGAAGACCAAGGCCUAAGAGGAUAAGAAAAGGCCACCGCCGGGGACCUUGUGAGCUGGGCCCGUUUCCCGGGCUCUGGGUGAAGCUGGGGCAGAUCAGCCCGUUGCUGGCGGCUCUAAUGGGAAGAGUUUGCUUGGAUGGAGCUGGAAGCAACCUCCCCAUCAGGUCCCGGUUCUGCCCUCUGCAAACGCCAGACUAAUGGAGGAGGAUUCAUGGUUCUUUGUCCACAUCGGCAAGGACACUCCUGGCGGGGACAAGUACAUAAGCAAAGGCACAGAGGCUGGAGGCACAGGGCAUGUUCACAGAAGUGCCCGCUCAAGUGCCCACGUGGACAGAUAAGCAGAAGUUGAAGGAAUGAAUGAAUAUACAAAUAAGAGGAACAGAUCCAGCGCCCAGUGGCAGAUCUGUCUGGAGGGGCAGGGAGCCCGAAGGCUUCAGGAACACAGCAGCAGUCCAUGCUGAGCGGGUUCCAGGAGGCCGACAUCCACGGGACGGCGGAGCAGAGGGGAAGUCUCUAGAUUGCCCGUGUGAAGGAGGAUGUGCGCCAUGGAGAAUGACAGCUUACAGCUAACCUCCCGCAGUGAGAAGUUGGGCACAGAGCCCAUGGAAUUCCCCCCGCCCAGCAGUCAAGGCUCAAGAGGGGUGGGCGCAGGCCGGGACCCCUCAGCUGAUGUCCAGACCCCACACAUCAGUAGAGUGCCCGAGCAAAGUCACAGCCAGGGCCGCCCCCGACUCUCCUGAGCCCUCUCUCCUCCUCUGGCCCCUCCAGCCUCCUUCACCUGCUGCGGGGCUGCUGAAAGGCAAAAGCCCUCCCGUUUGUUUUACUUCUUGAAGCUGAGUGCCCUCCAGGGGCAGAGAUGUGUCCCUCUGAUCCCCCAGCCAUUAGCACAGCACCUGGUGCGUGGUAAUAGCUUAAUCAAUGCUUGUCGACUCUAGCUCUCACUCCCUCCCGACUCUCUGAGCCCUCAGUGAGCUCUGCCUGCCUGCUCUCUGCUGUCCCUCUGGUUCCCAAGAUGUUGGCCUCUCCCAGCCCACUCACCCGCUACCCCACCCUGACCCCCACUGACGUCCCUAAGAGCAGAUAGGGAUGUGCAUGCCGAGUGCCUUCAGGCUCCGUGAAUCUCAGCCAAGACACUCUGGCAUGUGAAGUCCUCAGGCCAGCCUCCAGGGCGUCCCCUCUGAGGCCUCAAGGGCCAGACCAGACACGGGGUCUGUUCAGGGUAAUUGACCUCAGGGGCUCCAAGCUGAGAACCCCAGGGACAGUGUCCAGGCACUCGAUGGGACCCGCUGUAGACUAUGGACAGAGCUCAAGGGCCUGGGAUUUCCACAACGAUGAUCUUCAUUCUCUCUCUCCCCUCCCCCCAAGUCCGAUCAGCCACCAAGACUUGCCAGGUCCACCUCCUAAAUGUCAGCCCAUCCACUCCCCUUGCCCCCUCCCUGCCCCCAACCUACUCUCCACACUUCCGCCAGAGUCAGCUUCCUAAGGUCCCAAACAGCCUAGGUCCUGCCCCUCCCUGGAGCCGGCCCCUCUGGAGUCAAGGUUAGGCUUACAAGACCCUCCACGUUCUGGCCCCAGCUUAACCACCCCUGCCACCCAGUCGCAUCUCUUGCUACCUCUGACCUCACACUCUACACCUUUCUGCUUUGCACAUGCUGUUCCUUCUACCCGGCACUCCUCUCCUAGAAAACAUCUACCAGUUUUAAAGGCUUCAUUCAAUUUUCACCUCCUCCAGGAAGCUCUGUCUGAGCCUCUGCUACUUAAGAGUCAGACUCUCCCCCCUUUCUGUUCCCAGGCUCCUGGACUACCUUCCGUGAG